GGCGGAACGGGUGAGUAACGCGUGGGAAUCUACCCAGUAGUGGGGGACAACUACCGGAAACGGUAGCUAAUACCGCAUACGCCCUAUGGGGGAAAGGCUUCGGCCGCUAUUGGAUGAGCCCGCGUCAGAUUAGCUAGUUGGUAGGGUAAAGGCCUACCAAGGCAACGAUCUGUAGCUGGUCUGAGAGGACGAACAGCCGCACUGGGACUGAGACACGGCCCAGACUCCUACGGGAGGCAGCAGUGGGGAAUAUUGGACAAUGGGCGAAAGCCUGAUCCAGCAAUGCCGCGUGUGUGAAGAAGGCCUGCGGGUUGUAAAGCACUUUCAGUUGGGAAGAUGAUGACGUUACCAACAGAAGAAGCACCGGCUAAAUCCGUGCCAGCAGCCGCGGUAAUACGGAUGGUGCGAGCGUUAAUCGGAAUUACUGGGCGUAAAGCGCGC
rnacentral:rRNA from 1 species